CCGCCCGCCAGUCCGGAGCCGCCUGUCCGGAGCCGCCCGCCUGUCCGGAGCCGCCAGAGCCGCCCGCCUGUCCAGAGCCGCCCGCCUGUCCGGAUCCGCCAGAGCCGCCCGCAUGUCCGGAACCGCCAUAGCUGUCAGCUGUCAGGAGUUACUCCACUUGUGUGUGACAUUAAGUCUUCUUCUGUGGUGUUGGAGCUACUGCUUUCACUAUUAGAUCUUCUUCUGUGGUGUUGGAGCUGCUUCUUAUACUGCCCCAGACUCAGCUUUAGCUCCCUGUACAUCAAUGAGAGUAACAGAGGUACCUGCAUGAUGGGGAGAAGAGCCUGAUCACUGACUUCAGUCUGGGGGUGUUUGGCUCCAGGAGAAGAGAACACAGCCUAGAUGAUCUUCAAUGUCAGCCUCUCAUGCUGGAAGACUUGGAACCAGGUUUAUCCACACAGCUUUCUAAAGGUGCCAAUAGCUUUUAUGAAGUUCAACCAUUUAUUAAGAGUUUUAAAUUGUUUACCAUUCAGUGCAGUUUGUCAGUAUAGUCAGUGUAACCUCACCUUAGAAACUAACCCAAGGCCUAAACUAAACUGGAAUGAGAUUCAUUGGUAACCAUGUUUACUACUGAUUCAUAACGUAUAAUUCUAUGAAUAAAUUCUUCUUAAAGUAUGCCUUAA